AAAGCUCAUUGCUUUAGUGCUGGUAGAUGCUGCUUAUUUUUCAAGACGGUUUUAAUAGCUUUAUAUUGAUUUGUAACAAAGCCAGCUUCACUUUGAGAGAACCUACAUGCUAAUUGUAAAGAAGCUUGGAUUCAUAAUAUAUUUUAACGUAAUAUGUUUGCUGUUCUUCAUCUUUUUAAAUAUGAAGUCUAUCCAUGUUUGUGUUUACAGAGGUCAUGUACACUGUGGUCAACUUUGUGGACGCUGAAGAGGUUUCUGGAGAAAUAUAAUGAAGUAACAGUGGAAGCUAAAACAUCAGACUGAUCCAGACACUGAAGAAAUUGAUGUCACUGCAAUCUGGCCAAAAUGAUACAACUAUAUUGAAGUAGCCUACUGUAAUGAAGCUGCAGAACAACACAGAGACUCUGAGGACAUCAACACAGAAAAUCAAGGCUCCAAAGAGAUGUCUGUCCAGAUGAGAGUGCAUCAACGUUACCUUUGCUGACAAGUAUAUGCUUUUAGCAGUUAACUUAAACCAUU